GAUGAACGCUGGCGGUAUGCUUAACACACGCCAGUCGAACGGACUCUUCGGAGUUAGUGGCGGACGGGUGAGUAACGCGUGAGAAUCUGGCUUUGGGUUCGGGACAACCACUGGAAACGGUGGCUAAUACCGGAUGUGCCGAGAGGUAAAAGGGAAAUUGCCUGAAGAUGAGCUCGCGUCUGAUUAGCUAGUUGGUGAGGUAAAGGCUCACCAAGGCAGCGAUCAGUAGCUGGUCUGAGAGGAUGACCAGCCACACUGGGACUGAGACACGGCCCAGACUCCUACGGGAGGAAGCAGUGGGGAAUUUUCCGCAAUGGGCGAAAGCCUGACGGAGCAAUACCGCGUGAGGGAAGAAGGCGCUUGGGGUGUAAACCUCUUUUCUUAGGGAAGAACAAAAUGACGGUACCUAAGGAAUAAGCAUCGGCUAACUCCGUG
rnacentral:rRNA from 1 species